GAUACCCCUGUAGUCCUGGCCGUAAACGAUGAACACUAGGUGUCGGGGGAAUCGACCCCCUCGGUGUCGUAGCCAACGCGUUAAGUGUUCCGCCUGGGGAGUACGCACGCAAGUGUGAAACUCAAAGGAAUUGACGGGGGCCCGCACAAGCGGUGGAGUAUGUGGUUUAAUUCGAUGCAACGCGAAGAACCUUACCAGGGUUUGACAUCCUGCGAAUCCCUUGGAAACGAGGGAGUGCCUUCGGGAACGCAGUGACAGGUGGUGCAUGGCUGUCGUCAGCUCGUGUCGUGAGAUGUUGGGUUAAGUCCCGCAACGAGCGCAACCCACGUCUUUAGUUGCCAGCAUUUAGUUGGGCACUCUAGAGAGACUGCCGGUGAUAAACCGGAGGAAGGUGUGGAUGACGUCAAGUCAUCAUGCCCCUUACAUCCUGGGCUACACACGUACUACAAUGCUACGGACAAAGGGCAGCAAACUCGCGAGAGCUAGCCAAUCCCAUAAACCGUGGCUCAGUUCAGAUCGUAGGCUGCAACUCGCCUACGUGAAGGAGGAAUCGCUAGUAAUCGCAGGUCAGCAUACUGCGGUGAAUACGUUCCCGGGCCUUGUACACACCGCCCGUCACACCAUGGAAGUUGGCCACGCCCGAAGUCGUUACUCCAACCCUUGUGGAGGAGGAUGCCGAAGGUGGGGCUGAUGACUGGGGUGAAGUCGUAACAAGGUAGCCGUACCGGAAGGUGC
rnacentral:rRNA from 1 species